rnacentral:rRNA from 1 species
GAUGAACGCUGGCGGCGUGCCUAAUACAUGCAAGUCGAGCGAACAGACGAGGAGCUUGCUCCUCUGACGUUAGCGGCGGACGGGUGAGUAACACGUGGAUAACCUACCUAUAAGACUGGGAUAACUUCGGGAAACCGGAGCUAAUACCGGAUAAUAUAUUGAACCGCAUGGUUCAAUAGUGAAAGACGGUUUUGCUGUCACUUAUAGAUGGAUCCGCGCUGCAUUAGCUAGUUGGUAAGGUAACGGCUUACCAAGGCAACGAUGCGUAGCCGACCUGAGAGGGUGAUCGGCCACACUGGAACUGAGACACGGUCCAGACUCCUACGGGAGGCAGCAGUAGGGAAUCUUCCGCAAUGGGCGAAAGCUUGACGGAGCAACGUCGCGUGAGUGAUGAAGGUCUUCGGAUCGUAAAACUCUGUUAUUAGGGAAGAACAAAUGUGUAAGUAACUAUGCACGUCUUGACGGUACCUAAUCAGAAAGCCACGGCUAACUACGUG